GAGGGAGUACACUUUGGCCUUCCCUCUCAGAUUCCAACUUUGUAGGUUUGAGAGUGGUGUUGGCAGGAUUGGCAUUUUGGAAAGAAUCUUUUGUGAGUCUAAUGGAGAUGGUCCCAGGAUCACACUUUGAGAAACAUUGCAAGGUGGUUAGAGGAUGGUGAAAUCAUUGAAGUUAAGAAUCAGACUCUUUUCUUUCUUUGAUUUCCUUUACCCUUGAAGCUAGUACUUUUUCCACAUUAUUAAACCAUCUUGAAGCAUUUUAGUCUGGGAACAUAAUUUAUAACUGGUAUGUUGUUUAUAGUGGCUUGUUGUAAGGGACUUGGGGGAGGAGCACAAAUCUAUAUAUUCUUGCGGAGGGCAAUAUUGUCAUAUUGCACAGUAGGCUCACAAUGCAUUUGGUUUUCCUGCAGACUCCCAUUAAGUUAGGCAUAAUAGAUACCUAUGUAAUAUAUUAUGAAAUAAUUUAAAAACACACUUUUCAUUGUAGAAAUUUUUAAAGCAAUACACUCCUUAGCAAAUGUAAAAGAACAGAAAUUAUAACAAACUGUCUCUCAGACCACAGUGCAAUCAAACUAGAACUCAGGAUUAAGAAACUCCCUCAAAACCGCUCAACUACUUGGAAACUGAACAACCUGCUCCUGAAUGACUACUGGGUACAUAAUGAAAUGAAGGCAGAAAUAAACAUGUUCUUUGAAACCAACGACAACAAAGACACAACAUACCAGAAUCUCUGGGAUACAUUCAAAGCAGUGUGUAGAGGGAAAUUUAUAGGACUAAAUGCCCACAAGAGAAAGCAGGAAAGAUCUAAAAUUGAUACCCUAACAUCACAAUUAAAAGAACUAGAGAAACGAGCAAACACAUUCAAAAGCUAGCAGAAGGCAAGAAAUAGCUAAGAUCAGAGGAGAACUGAAGGAAAUAGAGACACAAAAAACCCUUCAAAAAAUCAGUGAAUCCAGGAGCUGGUUUUUUGAAAAGACCAACAAAAUGGAUAGACCGUUAGCAAGACUAAUAAAGAAGAAAAGAGAGAAGAAUCAAAUGGACACAAUAAAAAAUGAUAAAGGGGAUAUCACCAUCGAUCCCACAGAACUACAGACUACCAUCAGAGAAUACUAUAAACACCUCUAUGCAAAUAAACUAGAAAAUCUAGAAGAAAUGGAUUAAUUCCUCGACAUAUACACCCUCCCAAGACUAAACCAGGAAGAAGUUGAAUCUCUGAAUAGACCAAUAACAGGCUCUGAAAUUGAGGCAAUAAUUAAUAGCUUACCAACCAAAAAAAGUCCAGAACCAGAUAGAUUCACAGCUGAAUUCUACCAGAGGUACAAGGAGGAGCUGGUACCAUUCCUUCUGAAACUAUUCCAAUCAAUAGAAAAAGAGGGAAUCCUCCCUAACUCAUUUUAUGAGGCCAGCAUCAUCCUGAUACCAAAGCCUGGCAGAGCACAACAAAAAAAGGGAAUUUUAGACCAAUAUCCCUGAUGAACAUCGAUGCAAAAAUCCUCAAUAAAAUACUGACAAACCGAAUCCAGCAGCACAUCAAAAAGCUUAUCCACCACGAUCAAGUUGGCUUCAUCCCUGGGAUUCAAGGCUGGUUUAACAUACGCAAAUCAAUAAACGUAAUCCAACGUAUAAACAGAACCAACGACAAAAACCAUAUGAUUAUCUCAAUAGAUGCAGAAAAGGCCUUUGACAAAAUUCAACAAAGCUUCAUGCUAAAAACUCUCAAUAAAUUAGAAAACAAAAGGAGAUCACGUAGAGUAAGGCCCUGAUUAAUGUACAUCAUAGCCUGGGUCACGUACCUCCACCCCACAAGACCAAGAAGUGAAAUGAGGGAAUUGAAGAAUCAAAUAGAAAAAGGCAAAGCCAAUACAAUGAUGCACUAUCUAGUUUGUUACUUCUGAGGAUGACUACUACUUCUGGUGAGGCCCAGAAGCUAUAUCCCUAAAUUGUCCACCUAAGGAAUUAAAAAGAGAGGCAUUGGUCUGUCAGCUUCUGUUCCCUCCUUGAGGAGAGUCAAGGGUUGCCUUCUGGGGCCUGCCUUUCCUGCGAUUCUGUGUUAAUACACUUAAGACUUAGACGUAUAGAUAUCUAACAAGCUCCUAGGGAAGUAAUAAAGAAGUAUGUUUAGUGUAAGAUUGAGAUGAGACAUUGUUACCCCAAAGUGGGUUGAUACCUAUGCCGAACUGUUUACUGUAGCCUCGCUGGAAUCAGAGAUGAAGGUGAGAUGGUAUAUAAGAUUGUGUGUCCAGUACAAUGUCUUUAUAUACUUUAAAUGCAAAAAAAAAAAAAAAAAGAAAAUCAGAAAGGGAGAGGCGGAAAUGGACGUUUAAGAUAUUUCAUACCUUUGUUCUAAAUCAAAGAAACUUCCUUACUGUAAAUUCUUCAUGUAGAGAAUGCUUUAUGAGAUUACAAAAAUAAGCCUGUCUGCAGUCAGCAAGAUGGAGGAAUAGGGAGCACCAGACUUCUACCCCUACAGAAAUACUGACUUAACAAUAUGUGGUCCAAUAAAGCCUUUAUGAGAAGGCCAGAAAUCACUUAUGAAGUCACAGAACUCCAGUUUAAAACCAAGAACCAUGGUUUUGAAACAGGUGCAGAAAAAGCAUUUGAUAAAAUCUGGUAUCCCUUUAUGAUAAAAAUUCUCAACAAACUAGUUAUAGAUGAAACAUACCUCAAAAUAAUAAAAGCCAUCUAUGACAGAUUCACAGCUAACAUAAUACUGAAAGGGGAGAACUUGAAAGAAUUCCCCCUAAGAAUGGGAACAAGACAAGGAUGCCCACUUUCACCACUUCUAUUCAGUAUAAUACCGGAAGUCCUAGCCAGAGCAAUCAGGCAAGAGAAAUAAAGGGCAUCCAAACUGGAAAAGAGGAAGUCAAACUUAUGUCUAUUUGCUGAUGAUGUGAUCAUAUACCUAGAAAACCCUGACUCCUCCAAAGAAUCCUAGAUCUGAUAAAUGAAUCCAGUAAAGUCUCAGGUUACAAAAUUAAUAUACAUAAAUCAGUAGCAAUGCUAUAUGCACUGAGAACCAAGCUGAGUAUGAAAUUGAGAACUCAAUUCCUUUUACAAUAGUUAUACAAAAAUAUUUAGGAAUAUAUAUAACCAAGGAAGUGAAACAUCUGUACAAGGAGAACUACAAAAUACUGCUAAAUAAAUCACAGGUGACACAAACAAAUGGAAAUACACCUUAUGCUCAUGGAUUGGAAGAAUCAAUAUCGUGAAAAUGACCAUACUGCCCAAAGCAAUUUACAGAUUCAAUGUAAUUCCUAUCAAAAUAACCAACAUCGUUUUUUCAGAUAAUUAGAAAAAAAAUCAUAAAAUUCACAUGGAACCAAAAUAGAGCCCAAAUAGCCAAAGCAAUCCUAAGCAAAAAGAACAAAUCUGAAGGUGACAUCACAUUACCUAACUUCAAAAUACACUACAGGGCUAUAGUUACCAAAACAGUAUGGUACUGGUAAAAAAGUAGUUACAUAGACCGUGGAACAAAAUAGAGAACCAAGAAAUAAAGCCGAAUACUUACAACCAACUGAUCUUUGGCAAAGCGUACAAAAACAUAAAUUGGGGAAAGGACAUCCCAUUAAAUAAAUGGUGAUGGGAAAAUUGAAUAGCCACAUGUAGAAGAAUGAAACUGGAUUCCUACCUGUCACCAUAUACAAAAAUUAAGAUAGAUUAAAGACUUAAAUCUAAGACCUGAAACCAUGAAAAUUCUAGAAGAAAAACUUUUCUGGACAUUGGCCUAAGCAAAGAAUUUAUGAAUAAGACAUCAAAAGCAAAUGCAGCAAAAGCAAAAAUAAAUAAAUGGGACCUAAUUAAACAAAAGCUUCUGCACAGCAAAAGAAAUAACCAUUAAAUAGACAACCUACAGAAUGAGAGAAAAAAUCUGCGAAUUUUGCAUCUGACAACAUACACGGAACUCAAAUCACUAAGAAAAAACAAAUAAUCCCAUUAAAGAGUGGGCAAAGGACAUGAAUAGACAGUUUUCAAAGGAUGAUUUGCAAAUGGCCAACAAACAUGCAGAAAUGCUCAACAUCACUAAUCAUCAGGGAAAUGCAAGUUAAAACGCAACAAGAUACUACUGUACCCCAGCCAGAAUGACCAUUAUUAAAAAUUCAAAUAACAAUAGAUGUUGGCAUGGACAGGGUGAAAAAGGAACACUUAUACACUGCUGGUUGGAAAGUAAAUUAGUAUAACUUCUAUAGAAUACAGUAUGGAGAUUUGAUCCAUGAAUUCCACUACUGAGUAUCUACCCAAUGGAAAGGAAAUCAAUAUAUAAAAAAGACAUAUUUAUCACAGCACAGUUCACAAUUGUAAUGAUACGGAAUCAACCUAAAUACCCAUCAACCAAAGAGUAGAUAAAGAAAAUGUGGCAUAUGUAUAUUGUAGAAUACUACUCAGCCAUAAAAAAGAAUGAAAUAAUGUCUUUUGCAGCAACUGGGAUGGAACUGGAGGCUAUUAUUCUAAGUGAAGUAAUUCUGGAAUCAAAAUCUAAAUCCAACAUGUUCUCAUUUACAGGUGGUUUCUAAGCUUAUGGAUAUGCAAGGGCAUACAGAGUGGUAUAAUGUACAUUGGAGACUCAGAAGGCUGGCAAGCAGGAGAGAGGUGAGAGAUGAAAAAGUACCUAUUGGAUAUAGUGUUCAGGUGGUGGGUGCACUAAAAUUCUAGACUUCUCCAUGGUACCGUUCAUCCAUGUAACCAAAAAAUCACUCAUACCCCUAAAGCUACUGAAAUAAAAAAAAAUUUUUGAAGUACAUUAUGUAAUGAUGAAAGGGCCAAUUCACCAGGAAGGUAUGACAAUGAUAAAUGUACAUGUACUUUACAGCAGAACACAAAAAAUAUAUAAGGCAAACAUGGACAAAAUUGAAGGGAGAAAUAGUAACAUAAUAAUAAUAGAAUAUUUCAGUGCCCCACUUUUAAUAACCAGACAGAAUAUUAGUAGAGAAACAGAGCACUUGAAUAAUGCUAUAGACCAAUUGGACCUAACAGAUACAUACAGAACACUGCACACCAAAACAGCAGAAUAGAUAGUCUUUUCAAGUGCACUAGGAGCAUUCUUCAGGAUAUAUCACAUGGUAGGCCACAAAACUAGUAUUAAGAGAAGAUUGAAGUCAUAUCAAGUAUCUUUUUAGACCAUAUUGUAAUAAAACUAGAAAUCAGUAGCACAAGAAAAACUAGAAAAUUCACAAAUAUGUGGAAAUUAAACAACACACUCUUGAAUAAUCAGUGGAUCAAAGAUGAAAUCAUGGGAAAUUAGAAAAUAUAUUGAAAAAUGAAUAUGAAAACACAACAUAGCACAACACAUAAGAUGCAGCAAAAGCAGUAGUAAGAGGGAAGUUUAUAGCAGUAAACAUCCAUAUUAAGAAAAUCUCCAAUCAACAACCUAACUUUAUACUUAAGGGGACUAGAAAAGGAAGAACAAGCUAAACCCAAAGUUAGCAGAAGGAAGGGAGGAAUAAAAAUUAGAGUCCAAAUAAAUGAAAUAGAUAAUAGAAAAAGAGUAAAAAAAAAAGGCUAUGAAACUAAGAGUUGGUUUCUUAAAAAGAUCAACAAAAUCAACAGUUCCAUAUUUAGCUAGAAUAAGAAGAAAACAAAGACUCAAAUAACAAAAAUCAGAAAAGAAAGAAGAGACAUUACAACUGAUGCCACAGAAAUGUAAAGUAUCAUAAUAGAGUACUAUGAACAAUUAUACACCAACAAAUUAUAUAACCUUGAAGAAAUGCAUACAUUUCCAGAAAUGUACAAUCAAGACCAAAUUAUGAAGAAAUAAAAUAUCUGAGUGGACAUAUACUGGGUGAAUGCCUUCAUCCAUUGGAACCUGAACCAUGAGUAUUUCCUUCUGAGACUUUCAUCAAACUAAGUCUGCAUGAAGCCUGAGUCCUGUGGUAACUGGAACCUCAUAAUAGCAUUUACAUUUGGUGUUAAAAUGCACCCAACAGGAAAAAGGAUUCAGUUAUUUUCAAGCUUCCAAAUUCCAAAUGUGCUGAAUAGACAUUUCCUUUAAAAAAUAAAUAUACAAAAUGGAUUUGUGUGACUUGAAGUUUAAAAGAAAUGUUCUUGCAUGCCAUAGUUAAGAAUUGUAACAAUAUCACAUUCUCAAGUUUACUUAUUUUAAAAGUAGACUGUCAUGGUUUGGCUCAGCUACUAAAUUAAAUUAUUGCUGGCUU
rnacentral:lncRNA from 1 species